rnacentral:rRNA from 1 species
CGCUGCAUUAGCUAGUUGGUAAGGUAACGGCUUACCAAGGCAACGAUGCAUAGCCGACCUGAGAGGGUGAUCGGCCACACUGGAACUGAGACACGGUCCAGACUCCUACGGGAGGCAGCAGUAGGGAAUCUUCCGCAAUGGGCGAAAGCCUGACGGAGCAACGCCGCGUGAGUGAUGAAGGUCUUCGGAUCGUAAAACUCUGUUAUUAGGGAAGAACAUAUGUGUAAGUAACUGUGCACAUCUUGACGGUACCUAAUCAGAAAGCCACGGCUAACUACGUGCCAGCAGCCGCGGUAAUACGUAGGUGGCAAGCGUUAUCCGGAAUUAUUGGGCGUAAAGCGCGCGUAGGCGGUUUUUUAAGUCUGAUGUGAAAGCCCACGGCUCAACCGUGGAGGGUCAUUGGAAACUGGAAAACUUGAGUGCAGAAGAGGAAAGUGGAAUUCCAUGUGUAGCGGUGAAAUGCGCAGAGAUAUGGAGGAACACCAGUGGCGAAGGCGACUUUCUGGUCUGUAACUGACGCUGAUGUGCGAAAGCGUGGGGAUCAAACAGGAUUAGAUACCCUGGUAGUCCACGCCGUAAACGAUGAGUGCUAAGUGUUAGGGGGUUUCCGCCCCUUAGUGCUGCAGCUAACGCAUUAAGCACUCCGCCUGGGGAGUACGACCGCAAGGUUGAAACUCAAAGGAAUUGACGGGGACCCGCACAAGCGGUGGAGCAUGUGGUUUAAUUCGAAGCAACGCGAAGAACCUUACCAAAUCUUGACAUCCUUUGACAACUCUAGAGAUAGAGCUUUCCCCUUCGGGGGACAAAGUGACAGGUGGUGCAUGGUUGUCGUCAGCUCGUGUCGUGAGAUGUUGGGUUAAGUCCCGCAACGAGCGCAACCCUUAAGCUUAGUUGCCAUCAUUAAGUUGGGCACUCUAAGUUGACUGCCGGUGACAAACCGGAGGAAGGUGGGGAUGACGUCAAAUCAUCAUGCCCCUUAUGAUUUGGGCUACACACGUGCUACAAUGGACAAUACAAAGGGCAGCGAAACCGCGAGGUCAAGCAAAUCCCAUAAAGUUGUUCUCAGUUCGGAUUGUAGUCUGCAACUCGACUACAUGAAGCUGGAAUCGCUAGUAAUCGUAGAUCAGCAUGCUACGGUGAAUACGUUCCCGGGUCUUGUACACACCGCCCGUCACACCACGAGAGUUUGUAACACCCGAAGCCGGUGGAGUAACCUUUUAGGAGCUAGCCGUCGAAG